AUGGCCAGAAUAAUUCAAAUACAGAUUAAAAUAUGGCUAUAAAAAGAGUACCAAAAACCUAACGACAGCAAGAAGAAGCUCUGAAGAAGCUGCUUUUUCAUUAACUGGUAUUCUAAUACAGGUGGUGUAUUGUAGCUUGUGGGGACAUAGCAAGAAUGGAGCUGUUUCAGUAGAAGAUAAUUUGUUCUUCUGAUGAAAAUAUUUUCUAGCUCAUCUCAUUUGAAAUGAAUGUUUGUUAACAGCAUACGCAGACAACAUUUGUUCUUGUGGGGUCAGGAGCUCAAGUGACUCCACUGAAACCCUGGCAUUUAUCACAGGCAAAAUUAGGUCAGAAGAGAGCACAGAGGUACUGAACUGAAAAGAGAUAAAUUCAUCCUUAGAAGGAAAAGAAUGGCUCGAGCUGCAAAGUUGGGUUUAAUUUGUCUCCUCCACAUAAGAAGUGACUGUGAAGUGCCGGUGAGGAUCACAAUUAAUGAACAAUGGGGAAAAGAAUCCAGAAAACUUCACUGUGGGUAGAUUCCUAAGAUUCUUCGACAUACAAAGCUCACAUAAAAGGCUCACAAACUCUUUGUCAUAGGAUGUGGUUGCUCUCUUUUAUGACAAUACUGGACUGUUUCUGCAGAAAUUGCUCUUUCUGGAACAGAAGGAGGAGAAGCAUGCAGACCAAGCUGUAUCCUCAGUGACAGUGGAUAAAAUGUUGGUGGCUGAAGGCUUAA